UUACUACUCCCUCCGUCCUGAAAUACUUGUCGAAAAAAUGAAUGUAUCUAGACGUAUUUUAGUUCUAAAUAAAUUCAUUUUUAUCAAUUCUUCGACAAGUAUUUUCGGACGGAGGGAGUAUUUU
rfam:Triticum aestivum genome assembly, contig: Triticum_aestivum_CS42_TGACv1_scaffold_500032_6BL